UACGUAGGGUGCGAGCGUUGUCCGGAAUUAUUGGGCGUAAAGGGCUCGUAGGCGGUUUGUCGCGUCGGGAGUGAAAACCCAAGGCUUAACCCUGGGCUGGCUUUCGAUACGGGCAGACUAGAGGUAUGCAGGGGAGAACGGAAUUCCUGGUGUAGCGGUGAAAUGCGCAGAUAUCAGGAGGAACACCGGUGGCGAAGGCGGGUUACUGGGCUGAUACUGACGCUGAUGCGCGAAAGCCAGGGGAGCAAACGGG
rnacentral:rRNA from 1 species